rnacentral:rRNA from 1 species
ACGACACCACGUUGAAACACCGGUCCUCAUAAGAUCACCAACGUUAAGCAACGUUGAGCUUGGUCAAUACCUAGAUGGGUGACCGCUUGGGAAUACCAGGUGCUGUAAG